rnacentral:sRNA from 1 species
UGGAAACGUUCAGGUCAUGUUGCUGAC